CAGCCGCCGCGGUAAAACAGAGGAUGCAAGCGUUAUCCGGAAUGAUUGGGUGUAAAGCGUCUGUAGGUGGCUUUUCAAGUCCGCCAUCAAAUCCCUGGGCUCAACCCUGGACAGGCAGUGGAAACUACCAAGCUGGAGUACGGUAGGGGCAGAGGGAAUUUCCGGUGGGGAGGUGAAAUGCGUUGAGAUUGGAAAGAACACCAACGGUGAAAGCGCUCUGCUGGGCCGACACUGACACUGAGAGACGAAAUCUAGGGGAGCAAAUGGGAUUAGAUACCCGCGUAGUCCCUGUCUCUUAUAC
rnacentral:rRNA from 1 species